UACAGAGGUCUCGAGCGUUGUUCGGAUUCAUUGGGCGUAAAGGGCGCGUAGGCGGCGAGGUAAGUCGGGUGUGAAAUCUCAGAGCUCAACUCUGAAAAGGCACUCGGUACUGCUUUGCUAGAGGACUGGAGAGGAGAUUGGAAUUCACGGUGUAGCAGUGAAAUGCGUAGAUAUCGUGAGGAAGACCAGUGGCGAAGGCGAAUCUCUGGACAGUUCCUGACGCUGAGGCGCGAAGGCUAGGGGAGCAAACGG
rnacentral:rRNA from 1 species